rnacentral:rRNA from 1 species
UACGUAGGGUGCAAGCGUUGUCCGGAAUUAUUGGGCGUAAAGAGCUCGUAGGCGGUCUGUCGCGUCGGCUGUGAAAACCCGGAGCUCAACUCCGGGCCUGCAGUCGAUACGGGCAAACUGGAGUACUGCAGGGGAGACUGGAAUUCCUGGUGUAGCGGUGAAAUGCGCAGAUAUCAGGAGGAACACCGGUGGCGAAGGCGAGUCUCUGGACAACUCCUGACACUGAGGCACGAAAGCUAGGGGAGCAAACAGG